rnacentral:lncRNA from 1 species
CCUAGUUCAGAAAGGUCCAAGGCAGAUCACAGGGCUGGAAAAGGGAUGGAGCUGCUGGGUAGACACUCUGUGUAGACUCUGGGAUGAACUGGGAAUGGGAGCCAACGUCAAGCCCAAGCCAGGGAGCCUGGUGAAUGGCCUCCUUCGAUAGCUGAGGAAGCCUAAACCAUUCUUUUGUUGGCCACUGGGUGAGGGACACACAUGGGACUGUCAGACUUGGUUCAGGAAGUUGGCAGGUACAUUACCCUCCAGGAAGUCUCUCUGAUAACCCCAGAGGGUGAUGAUCUUGCCCUCCUGGGAUUCACUCUGCACUUGUACUUUCCCCUAUGAGGACAGGCAUGUGUCUCUCUGCCCCACCACACACAGGCCUAGUACGUUCCGCAAGGCUGGCCUGGUCUUGUCCCUUCUGUGGUCCUCUGGGUGUCCAGCUGAGGACCUGACCUGCCCUGGAGCACAGUGGGCAUUUCCUAAAUCAAAUGGACAAAUGGAUUGACUUGUCUCUUGCUAAGAGCGCCUACCUUCGGGGUGUGGAGGUAGAGACAGGAGAGAAGCUCAGGAUGCUGCUCAGAACAACCCAUGGCUCAGACUUCCCACCUGCAAGAUGAGCAGACGGGCAGAAGGGUCCUCUCCUUGUCUGCCACCCGCAUGGCGUGCUGUGAGGAGCCUGUGAGAACCUGCCCAUCACCAUGAGAAGUGCAACACCAACCUCAGGUGGAAGGUCUUAAGAGAAAACACUGAGGUCCCUCGAAGAUGAAGAAAUCCUCAUGAAGAUGAAUCCAAAGGUGGAUUCAAUUUCAGCUGUCUUUGGACUGAAGACUGCAACAUCAACACUUCCCAGGGUCUCCAGCCUGCCCGCCUCUCCCGCAAAUUUCAGAUUUGCAAGUAUCCACAGUCAUGAGCAAUUCCUUAAAGUAAAUAUUUCUCUGUUUCUUUCUGGAUAUGUAUAGGUUGUUUCUCUGGAGAAUCCUGAUUAAUACAUGAAGGGUCAAGAUAAGUCUACUCCAGGUGAAGUGCAAAAAAUGAACAAGGAGGCCCAAUGAUGCAUCUGCUUAACUUUUCAGUUGUCAAUGCAAAUUAAGCACAAAGAGGACAGAGUUGAUGACAUAUCAGGAACAUUUUUUACUUCCGGAGCAGGUCUGAGUCCCAGCGGAAGACUGAGGCCGACUGAGCCAGAGGCACCACUUCAAUAGGUCACUGGUCUCUGCAGGGAAAGGAAAAGGUGUAAGAGUUCUCCCUGCAUAGAUGCUAUUUGUGACUUGGAUGUUUUCUUUCUAAUACAAAUGCAUCAAAGUGUUCACAGGAAUCUAGCUAUAUGCAAGAAGUCUGGAUUAUCUGCCUGAGAGAACUGGCCAGUAUCUCACCCAUGAGCACCAGAACCCAUUUCUAGAUUACUAAGAAAGGAGCACAAGAACACUGUGUAUAAGGCUCUGUGUUCCUAGAACUUUCUAAAUUUUACUUAAUGCAGGUUAACUUCAUCAACCCUGGUGAAAAUGCCACCUCCUCAUGAGGAAGCCUUCCCCAUUUGCUCUGUCUCAGAGACACUUGACUCCAUGGACUUCUCUGCAAUUCUGUUCUGUGUAGGACUGCCUAGUGCCUAGCCUUCUUGUGAUGUUCCUUGCUUAUGUCUUGUCUCCCCAUUUGAUUUGGAGGGUCCUGGGCAGGGACCACUGGGCUGGGCUCUAGUAGGCCCCCUGUAAAGACCUGUUGAGUAAUUAGAAGAGACAGUGGCCCCAUCUGGGUGAAUCCUGAAUUUAAUCAAUUUCCUGGAUCCUUGUUUAUUUUGCAAGUAGGAUAAGAAUGUCAUUGAAAUCCUAUCAUGUAGUCAUGGAAGGGCUAAUACAGUCAGUGUACUGCUACUCACUAAGCAUGCUGUUUAGCUCAGCGGUUUUUUGUUUUGUUUUGAUAACAAGACUGUCUCGAUGAAAGAAGCAGGGCGUUGUUUAAUAUUCUAAUGCAGGCUCCUUAUUUCACGACAUACUGGUAGUUACACUUGGAGUCGCAGUGAAAUAAAACAUCUAGGCCAGCGCCGUGGCUCACGUCUGUAAUCCCAGCACUUUCGGAGGCUGAGGCAGGUGGAUCACUUGAGGUCAGGAGUUUGAACCAGUUUGGCCAACAUGGUGAAACCCUGUCUUUACUAAAAAUACAAAAAUUAGCCUGGCGUGGUGAUGCAUGCCUGUAGUCCCAGGUACCUGCGAGGCUGAGGCAGGAGAAUCGCUUGAACCUGGAAGGUGGAGAUUGCAGUGAGCCAAGAUGGCACCACUGCACUCCAGCCUGGGUGACAGAGCAAGACUCUGUCUCAAAAAAAUUAAAGAAAAUAGAAAUAAAACAUAUAGCCUCACCCUCUUCAUUUGACAGAUGUGGGCUUUGAGGCUGAUAGAGAGGUAACUUGUCCAUGAUUAGACAGCAAGAAAUAGAGCUGCAGUUGGUACCAGGGCCUCAUAACACUGGGUCUAUAAUCACAAUGAAGCACCACCAGUGUCAAUGCAUGUAAAUUUCACACCCCUUAUCACACUGCAUCUACAAAGUAGUGCUGAGAACUGGGCAUGGCAGGCAUUAGUCUCUCCACGAGGAAACAGGCUCAGAGACUCUGAAGAUCCGUCCAAAUGCAUAGAGUGGGGAAGCAGUGAAAAGACGACGUUAGGACAUCCCAGCCCUGCCCACGUUCAGAGUUUGUUCCAACACAUUAGUCUUCAGAUGAGCUCACUAUUUUAGUCCUGCGUGCUCCAGCAAUGGCCUGAGAGGUGUGGGUACGUGCUGAAUGUCCAGGCCUUGUUAAAGAUAACUGCAGUACGGGCCAGGCGUGGUGGCUCGCGCCUGUAAUCCCAGCACUUUGGGAGGCCGAGGAGGAUGGAUCACGAGGUCAGGAGUU